rnacentral:rRNA from 1 species
GGAGUUUGGGCCGUGUCUCAGUUCCCAAUGUGGCCGAUCACCCUCUCAGGUCGGCUACCGAUCGUCGACUUGGUGGGCCGUUACCUCACCAACUAUCUAAUCGGACGCGAGCCCACCCUUCACCGGAUUGCUCCUUUGACCCCUGUAAGAUGUCUCACUGUGGUCUCAUGCGGUAUUAGUACAACUUUCGCUGUGUUAUCCCCCUCGUGAAGGACAGGUUGCUCACGCGUUACUCACCCGUCCGCCGCUAAAACAUACAUCUCCGCUUCCAUCCGAAAACUUCCGCUUCGUCGUAUGUCUCCGCUCGACUUGCAUGUGUUAGGCACGCCGCCAGCGUCGUCCUCGAGCCACUGAUCAAACUACU